rnacentral:rRNA from 1 species
GGUUAAGCGACUAAGCGUACACGGUGGAUGCCCUGGCAGUCAGAGGCGAUGAAGGACGUGCUAAUCUGCGAUAAGCGUCGGUAAGGUGAUAUGAACCGUUAUAACCGGCGAUUUCCGAAUGGGGAAACCCAGUGUGUUUCGACACACUAUCAUUAACUGAAUCCAUAGGUUAAUGAGGCGAACCGGGGGAACUGAAACAUCUAAGUACCCCGAGGAAAAGAAAUCAACCGAGAUUCCCCCAGUAGCGGCGAGCGAACGGGGAGCAGCCCAGAGCCUGAAUCAGUGUGUGUGUUAGUGGAAGCGUCUGGAAAGGCGUGCGAUACAGGGUGACAGCCCCGUACACAAAAAUGCACAUGCUGUGAGCUCGAUGAGUAGGGCGGGACACGUGGUAUCCUGUCUGAAUAUGGGGGGACCAUCCUCCAAGGCUAAAUACUCCUGACUGACCGAUAGUGAACCAGUACCGUGAGGGAAAGGCGAAAAGAACCCCGGCGAGGGGAGUGAAAAAGAACCUGAAACCGUGUACGUACAAGCAGUGGGAGCACGCUUAGGCGUGUGACUGCGUACCUUUUGUAUAAUGGGUCAGCGACUUAUAUUCUGUAGCAAGGUUAACCGAAUAGGGGAGCCGAAGGGAAACCGAGUCUUAACUGGGCGUUAAGUUGCAGGGUAUAGACCCGAAACCCGGUGAUCUAGCCAUGGGCAGGUUGAAGGUUGGGUAACACUAACUGGAGGACCGAACCGACUAAUGUUGAAAAAUUAGCGGAUGACUUGUGGCUGGGGGUGAAAGGCCAAUCAAACCGGGAGAUAGCUGGUUCUCCCCGAAAGCUAUUUAGGUAGCGCCUCGUGAAUUCAUCUCCGGGGGUAGAGCACUGUUUCGGCAAGGGGGUCAUCCCGACUUACCAACCCGAUGCAAACUGCGAAUACCGGAGAAUGUUAUCACGGGAGACACACGGCGGGUGCUAACGUCCGUCGUGAAGAGGGAAACAACCCAGACCGCCAGCUAAGGUCCCAAAGUCAUGGUUAAGUGGGAAACGAUGUGGGAAGGCCCAGACAGCCAGGAUGUUGGCUUAGAAGCAGCCAUCAUUUAAAGAAAGCGUAAUAGCUCACUGGUCGAGUCGGCCUGCGCGGAAGAUGUAACGGGGCUAAACCAUGCACCGAAGCUGCGGCAGCGACGCUGAUGCGUUGUUGGGUAGGGGAGCGUUCUGUAAGCCUGCGAAGGUGUGCUGUGAGGCAUGCUGGAGGUAUCAGAAGUGCGAAUGCUGACAUAAGUAACGAUAAAGCGGGUGAAAAGCCCGCUCGCCGGAAGACCAAGGGUUCCUGUCCAACGUUAAUCGGGGCAGGGUGAGUCGACCCCUAAGGCGAGGCCGAAAGGCGUAGUCGAUGGGAAACAGGUUAAUAUUCCUGUGCUUGGUGUUACUGCGAAGGGGGGACGGAGAAGGCUAUGUUGGCCGGGCGACGGUUGUCCCGGUUUAAGCGUGUAGGCUGG